CAGCAAGGGGAUUCCCCUAGUACGGCGAGUGAAGAGGGAAAGGAGCCCAAGAUUCGAAAGCUGGCGUCUUCGGCGUCCGCAUUGUAAUCUCAAGAAGUGUUUUCCGCUUCGGACCAUGCCUAAGUCCCUUGGAAAAGGGCAUCAUAGAGGGUGAUAAUCCCGUACAUGGCAUGGAGCGCCCGAAGCUUUGUGAUACGCUUUCUAAGAGUCGAGUUGUUUGGGAAUGCAGCUCAAAAUGGGUGGUAAAUGCCAUCUAAGGCUAAAUAUUGGGGAGAGACCGAUAGCGAACAAGUACAGUGAUGGAAAGAUGAAAAGAACUUUGAAAAGAGAGUUAAACAGUACGUGAAAUUGCCAAAAGGGAAGGGUAGGAGGUCAGAGAUGCGUUCUGGGAUUCAGCCUUGCUUUUGCUUGGUGUUUUUCCCAGUUUGCAGGCCAACGUCGGUUUUGGGCGCUGGAGAAGGGUGGAAGGAAUGUGGCACCCCUCGGGGUGUGUUAUAGCCUUCUACUGGAUACAGUGACCGAGACCGAGGACAGCAGCGUACUCGCAAGAGCGGGCCUUCGGGCACCUUUACGCUUAGGGCGUUGGCAUAAUGGCCCUCUACCACCCGUCUGAAAAAAAACGGACCA
rnacentral:rRNA from 1 species